rnacentral:rRNA from 1 species
GACGAACGCUGGCGGCGUGCCUAGUACAUGCAAGUCGAGCGGACGGAUGGGAGCUUGCUCCCAGACCGUCAGCGGCGGACGGGUGAGUAACACGUGGGCAACCUGCCUGUAAGACUGGGAUAACUCCGGGAAACCGGGGCUAAUACCGGAUAACUCUUUCCCUCACAUGAGGGAAAGCUGAAAGAUGGCAUCUCGCUAUCACUUACAGAUGGGCCCGCGGCGCAUUAGCUAGUUGGUGAGGUAACGGCUCACCAAGGCGACGAUGCGUAGCCGACCUGAGAGGGUGAUCGGCCACACUGGGACUGAGACACGGCCCAGACUCCUACGGGAGGCAGCAGUAGGGAAUCUUCCGCAAUGGACGAAAGUCUGACGGAGCAACGCCGCGUGAGUGAUGAAGGUUUUCGGAUCGUAAAACUCUGUUGUCAGGGAAGAACAAGUACCGGAGUAACUGCCGGUACCUUGACGGUACCUGAACAGAAAGCCACGGCUAACUACGUG